rnacentral:rRNA from 1 species
UUCGAUUCUGGCUCAGGAUUAACGCUGGCGGCGUGCCUAACACAUGCAAGUCGAACGAAAUAUCUUCGGAUAUUUAGUGGCGAACGGGUGAGUAAUGUACAGGUAAUGUACCUUCGUACUGCGAAUAACAAGCUGAAAAGUUUGCUAAUACGGAAUAGUUUCAUUAGGGGGCAUCCUUUGAUGAAUAAAGAUUUAUCGUGCGGAGAUCAGCCUGUAUCCUAUUAGUUAGUUGGUGGGGUAAUGGCCUACCAAGACGGCGAUGGGUAACUGGUCUGAGAGGAUGAGCAGUCACAUUGGAACUGAGAUACGGUCCAAACUCCUACGGGAGGCAGCAGUGAGGAAUUUUGCGCAAUGGGGGAAACCCUGACGCCAGCAACGCCGCGUGAGUGAAGACGGCCUUCGGGUUGUAAAGCUCUGUCGUGUGUGACGAGUAGGGACGGUAACACACAAGGAAGCCUCGGCUAACUACGUGCCAGCCGCGGC